GGCCGAAACUGACGUGAGGAGCGAAAGCGUGGGGAGCGAACAGGAUUAGUACUUGGUAGUCACGCGUAAGGUGGGGCUAGGUGUGGGAUGCUGUUAGUGUCCGCGUAGCUAACGCAUUAAGCGCCCCGCCUGGGGAUACGGCCGCAAGGUAAAACUCAAAGGAAUUGACGGGGGCCGCACAAGCGGCGGAGCAUGUGGAUUAAUUCGAUGCAACGCGAGAACCUUACCUGGGUUUGACAUCCUGGACGGCGAGAGAUACGCCUUCCCUUGUGGGGUGCACAGUGCAUGGCUGUGUCAGCUCGGUCGUGAGAUGUUGGGUUAAGUCCCGCAACGAGCGCAACCCUUGUCCCAUGUUGCCAGCGGGUAAUGCCGGGGACUCGUGGGAGACUGCCGGGGUCAACUCGGAGGAAGGUGGGGACGACGUCAAGUCAUCAUCCCCUUAUCCCAGGGCUUCACACAGCUACAAUGGCCAGUACAGAGGGUUGCGAGACCGUGAGGUGGAGCGAAUCCCUUAAAGCUGGUCUCAGUUCGGAUCGUAGUCUGCAACUCGACUACGUGAAGUCGGAGUCGCUAGUAAUCGCAGAUCAGCACGCUGGGGAAUACGUUCCCGGCCUUGUACACACCCCCGCCGUAAAAGUCGGUAACACCCGAAGCCCAUGGCCUAACCCCGUCAGGGGAGGGAGUGUCGAAGGU
rnacentral:rRNA from 1 species